GUGUGACUGCGUACCUUUUGUAUAAUGGGUCAGCGACUUAUAUUCUGUAGCAAGGUUAACCGAAUAGGGGAGCCGAAGGGAAACCGAGUCUUAACUGGGCGUUAAGUUGCAGGGUAUAGACCCGAAACCCGGUGAUCUAGCCAUGGGCAGGUUGAAGGUUGGGUAACACUAACUGGAGGACCGAACCGACUAAUGUUGAAAAAUUAGCGGAUGACUUGUGGCUGGGGGUGAAAGGCCAAUCAAACCGGGAGAUAGCUGGUUCUCCCCGAAAGCUAUUUAGGUAGCGCCUCGUGAAUUCAUCUCCGGGGGUAGAGCACUGUUUCGGCAAGGGGGUCAUCCCGACUUACCAACCCGAUGCAAACUGCGAAUACCGGAGAAUGUUAUCACGGGAGACACACGGCGGGUGCUAACGUCCGUCGUGAAGAGGGAAACAACCCAGACCGCCAGCUAAGGUCCCAAAGUCAUGGUUAAGUGGGAAACGAUGUGGGAAGGCCCAGACAGCCAGGAUGUUGGCUUAGAAGCAGCCAUCAUUUAAAGAAAGCGUAAUAGCUCACUGGUCGAGUCGGCCUGCGCGGAAGAUGUAACGGGGCUAAACCAUGCACCGAAGCUGCGGCAGCGACGCUGAUGCGUUGUUGGGUAGGGGAGCGUUCUGUAAGCCUGUGAAGGUGUGCUGUGAGGCAUGCUGGAGGUAUCAGAAGUGCGAAUGCUGACAUAAGUAACGAUAAAGCGGGUGAAAAGCCCGCUCGCCGGAAGACCAAGGGUUCCUGUCCAACGUUAAUCGGGGCAGGGUGAGUCGACCCCUAAGGCGAGGCCGAAAGGCGUAGUCGAUGGGAAACAGGUUAAUAUUCCUGUACUUGGUGUUACUGCGAAGGGGGGACGGAGAAGGCUAUGUUGGCCGGGCGACGGUUGUCCCGGUUUAAGCGUGUAGGCUGGUUUUCCAGGCAAAUCCGGAAAAUCAAGGCUGAGGCGUGAUGACGAGGCACUACGGUGCUGAAGCAACAAAUGCCCUGCUUCCAGGAAAAGCCUCUAAGCAUCAGGUAACAUCAAAUCGUACCCCAAACCGACACAGGUGGUCAGGUAGAGAAUACCAAGGCGCUUGAGAGAACUCGGGUGAAGGAACUAGGCAAAAUGGUGCCGUAACUUCGGGAGAAGGCACGCUGAUAUGUAGGUGAAGUCCCUCGCGGAUGGAGCUGAAAUCAGUCGAAGAUACCAGCUGGCUGCAACUGUUUAUUAAAAACACAGCACUGUGCAAACACGAAAGUGGACGUAUACGGUGUGACGCCUGCCCGGUGCCGGAAGGUUAAUUGAUGGGGUUAGCGCAAGCGAAGCUCUUGAUCGAAGCCCCGGUAAACGGCGGCCGUAACUAUAACGGUCCUAAGGUAGCGAAAUUCCUUGUCGGGUAAGUUCCGACCUGCACGAAUGGCGUAAUGAUGGCCAGGCUGUCUCCACCCGAGACUCAGUGAAAUUGAACUCGCUGUGAAGAUGCAGUGUACCCGCGGCAAGACGGAAAGACCCCGUGAACCUUUACUAUAGCUUGACACUGAACAUUGAGCCUUGAUGUGUAGGAUAGGUGGGAGGCUUUGAAGUGUGGACGCCAGUCUGCAUGGAGCCGACCUUGAAAUACCACCCUUUAAUGUUUGAUGUUCUAACGUUGACCCGUGAUCCGGGUUGCGGACAGUGUCUGGUGGGUAGUUUGACUGGGGCGGUCUCCUCCUAAAGAGUAACGGAGGAGCACGAAGGUUGGCUAAUCCUGGUCGGACAUCAGGAGGUUAGUGCAAUGGCAUAAGCCAGCUUGACUGCGAGCGUGACGGCGCGAGCAGGUGCGAAAGCAGGUCAUAGUGAUCCGGUGGUUCUGAAUGGAAGGGCCAUCGCUCAACGGAUAAAAGGUACUCCGGGGAUAACAGGCUGAUACCGCCCAAGAGUUCAUAUCGACGGCGGUGUUUGGCACCUCGAUGUCGGCUCAUCACAUCCUGGGGCUGAAGUAGGUCCCAAGGGUAUGGCUGUUCGCCAUUUAAAGUGGUACGCGAGCUGGGUUUAGAACGUCGUGAGACAGUUCGGUCCCUAUCUGCCGUGGGCGCUGGAGAACUGAGGGGGGCUGCUCCUAGUACGAGAGGACCGGAGUGGACGCAUCACUGGUGUUCGGGUUGUCAUGCCAAUGGCACUGCCCGGUAGCUAAAUGCGGAAGAGAUAAGUGCUGAAAGCAUCUAAGCACGAAACUUGCCCCGAGAUGAGUUCUCCCUGACUCCUUGAGAGUCCUGAAGGAACGUUGAAGACGACGACGUUGAUAGGCCGGGUGUGUAAGCGCAGCGAUGCGUUGAGCUAACCGGUACUAAUGAACCGUGAGGCUUAACCUUACAACGCCGAAGGUGUUU
rnacentral:rRNA from 1 species